rnacentral:rRNA from 1 species
UACCAGCACCCCGAGUGGUCGGGACGAUUAUUGGGCCUAAAGCAUCCGUAGCCGGUCCUACAAGUCUUCCGUUAAAUCCACCUGCUUAACAGAUGGGCUGCGGAAGAUACUAUAGGGCUAGGAGGCGGGAGAGGCAAGCGGUACUCAGUGGGUAGGGGUAAAAUCCUCUGAUCCAUUGAAGACCACCAGUGGCGAAGGCGGCUUGCCAGAACGCGCUCGACGGUGAGGGAUGAAAGCUGGGGGAGCAAAC